rnacentral:rRNA from 1 species
GAUGAACGCUGGCGGCAUGCCUAAUACAUGCAAGUCGUGCGGAAACACUUCGGGUGUCGAGCGGCGGACGGGUGAGUAACACGUUAGUAUCUACCCCAAACUGAGGGAUAAGCCCGAGAAAUCGGGUCUAAUACCGCAUAUGGUCUUUGGAUUAAAGCCUUCGGGCGGUUUGGGAGGAGCUUGCGUCUGAUUAGCUAGUUGGUAAGGUAAUGGCUUACCAAGGCUACGAUCAGUAGCUGGUCUGAGAGGAUGAUCAGCCACACUGGAACUGAGACACGGUCCAGACUCCUACGGGAGGCAGCAGUAGGGAAUUUUCCACAAUGGGCGAAAGCCUGAUGGAGCAAUGCCGCGUGCAGGAUGAAUGCCUUCGGGUUGUAAACUGCUUUUAUGAGGGAAGAUUGUGACGGUACCUCAUGAAUAAGCCUCGGCUAACUCCGUGCCAGCCGCCGCAGUAA